rnacentral:rRNA from 1 species
GAUGAACGCUAGCGGCAGGCCUAAUACAUGCAAGUCGGACGGGAUUUGGGAGCUUGCUCCUAAUGAGAGUGGCGCACGGGUGCGUAACACGUAUGUAACCUACCUUAAUCAGGGGGAUAGCCUCUCGAAAGAGAGAUUAACACCGCAUAAUAUAUUUUUAUGGCAUCGUAGAAAUAUCAAAUAUUUAUAGGAUUAAGAUGGGCAUGCGGAACAUUAGCUAGUUGGUAAGGUAACGGCUUACCAAGGCUACGAUGUUUAGGGGAUCUGAGAGGCUGACCACCCAAACUGGUACUGGGACACGGACCAGACUCCUACGGGAGGCAGCAGUAAGGAAUAUUGUUCAAUGGGCGCAAGCCUGAACCAGCCAUGCCGCGUGCAGGAAGACGGCCCUAUGGGUUGUAAACUGCUUUUGUACCGGAAUAAACCCUUUUACGUGUAGAAGGCUGAAUGUACGGUAAGAAUAAGGAUCGGCUAACUCCGUGCCAGCCGCCGCGGUAA